UAAAUCCGUCAUACACAACUACCACCAAAAAGGCAAAUAACCGUUCAUCAACGUGCACAAAUUUUCAAAAAUCAAAUUGAUCUUCAUCUUCAUCAUCGGUGUGCAAAUCUCUGCAACAAAUCUAGUGAUACAACUGCCACCAAAAAGACAAAAACCGUCAAACGACGUGCAUCAAGUUUUCAAAUCGAAUUGAUCUCCAUCUUCGAUCAACAUCGAUGUGCCAAUCUCUAUAACAGAAUCAUGGGGAUCGAUACAGCAGGGUAUCUAAUUCGAAGGAAGGAUAACGUAUAAAACCGUACAGCAGGGUAUUCACAUUUCUUAUUUUCUGGUAUUAGAUUACGCCACGUAUCUUUGGCUGAAAAGGUCAAAAUAAAAGAAGAAAAGGAUAAGCUGGGUUCUGAACUUUGGAAUCAAUUUGUAAAACUGGCCAUAGAUAAAGCUAAGGGACACUUGUUUAGGGGUAUCUACCGUUUCACCACACCAAUAUUAAACAUACAAUCCUUAGUAGUUUCUUCUUCUUGUUUUUUU